ACGGAGGAUGCAAGCGUUAUCCGGAAUUAUUGGGCGUAAAGCGUCCGUAGGUGGUUUUAAAAGUCAGUUGUUAAAGCCCACAGCUCAACUGUGGAUCGGCAAUUGAAACUGUAAGACUUGAGUGUGGUAGGGGUAGAGGGAAUUCCUAGUGUAGCGGUGAAAUGCGUAGAUAUUAGGAAGAACACCAGUGGCGAAGGCGCUCUACUGGGCCAUAACUGACACUGAUGGACGAAAGCUAGGGGAGCGAAAGGG
rnacentral:rRNA from 1 species